CCUACGGGUGGCAGCAGUGAGGAAUAUUGGUCAAUGGACGAGAGUCUGAACCAGCCAAGUAGCGUGCAGGAUGACGGCCCUACGGGUUGUAAACUUCUUUUAUGCGGGGAUAAAAUGCGUCACGUGUGCCUUUUUGUAUGUACCUCAUGAAUAAGGACCGGCUAAUUCCGUGCCAGCAGCCGCGGUAAUACGGAGGAUCCGGGCGUUAUCCGGAUUUAUUGGGUUUAAAGGGAGCGUAGACGGGUUGUUAAGCGUGUCGUGAAAUUCCGUGGCUCAACCAUGGAACUGCGACGGAGACUGGCAGGCUUGAGUGCGGGGAAGGUAGGCGGAAUUCGUGGUGUAGCGGUGAAAUGCUUAGAUAUCACGAAGAACUCCGAUUGCGAAGGCAGCAUACGGAAGCGCUACUGACGCUGAAGCUCGAAGGCGCGGGUAUCGAACAGGAUUAGAUACCCGAGUAGUC
rnacentral:rRNA from 1 species